rnacentral:lncRNA from 1 species
UUUAAUUGUUAAAAGUGGGCUCGAUUUAUUUUCAACUGAGAUUACUCUAGUUAGAAGAGCUGUUGGAGUAAUUCAGGGAAAUAAUAGACAAUAUAGAAUAAGAGAAUUUAAGAACAAGUGUAUGCAAUAUAACCUUACACCUAGAUUCAUGUCCAACGAAGUAGUUACUAGAUGGAAUUAUACGUAUAUAUUUUUAAAAUGUUGCUACAAAUAUAGAUUUCCAAUUACAGAAGUUGCUAAUGCACAUUGUACUUANN